rnacentral:rRNA from 1 species
UAAGCGGAGGAAAAGAAACUAACAAGGAUUCCCCUAGUAACUGCGAGUGAAGCGGGAAAAGCUCAAAUUUAAAAUCUGGCGGUCUUUGGCCGUCCGAGUUGUAAUUUAGAGAAGCGUCUUCCGCGCCGGACCGUGCACAAGUCUCCUGGAAUGGAGCGUCAUAGAGGGUGAGAAUCCCGUCUUUGGCACGGAUGCCUGGUGCUCUGUGAUGCGCUCUCGAAGAGUCGAGUUGUUUGGGAAUGCAGCUCAAAAUGGGUGGUGAACUCCAUCUAAAGCUAAAUAUUGGCGAGAGACCGAUAGCGAACAAGUACCGUGAGGGAAAGAUGAAAAGCACUUUGGAAAGAGAGUGAAACAGUACGUGAAAUUGUUGAAAGGGAAACGCUUGAAGUCAGUCGCGUCGACCGAGACUCAGCCUUGCCUCGGCUUGGUGUACUUCUCGGCCCGACGGGUCAGCGUCAAUUUUGCCCCUCGGAUAAUGGCAAGGGAAAGGUGGCACCUUUACGGGUGUGUUAUAGUCUCCUGUCGCAUGCGAGGGUUGGGAUUGAGGAACUCAGCGCGCACCUUUGGUGUCGGGGCUUCGGCCCACGUCACGCGCUUAGGAUGCUGGCGUAAUGGCUUUAAACGACC